rnacentral:rRNA from 1 species
UAAGCGGAGGAAAAGAAACCAACAGGGAUUGCCCUAGUAACGGCGAGUGAAGCGGCAACAGCUCAAAUUUGAAAUCUGGCCUCGGCCCGAGUUGUAAUUUGCAGAGGAAGCUUUAGGCGCGGCACCAACUGAGUCCCCUGGAACGGGGCGCCAUAGAGGGUGAGAGCCCCGUAUAGUUGGACGCCUAGCCUGUGUAAAGCUCCUUCGACGAGUCGAGUAGUUUGGGAAUGCUGCUCAAAAUGGGAGGUAAAUUUCUUCUAAAGCUAAAUACCCGGCCAGAGACCGAUAGCGCACAAGUAGAGUGAUCGAAAGAUGAAAAGCACUUUGAAAAGAGGGUUAAAUAGCACGUGAAAUUGUUGAAAGGGAAGCGCUUGUGACCAGACUUGCGCCGGGCGGAUCAUCCGGUGUUCUCACCGGUGCACUCCGCCCGGCUCAGGCCAGCAUCGGUUCUCGCGGGGGGAUAAAGGCCUCGGGAACGUAGCUCCUCCGGGAGUGUUAUAGCCCGGGGCGCAAUGCCCUCGCGGGGACCGAGGUUCGCGCAUCUGCAAGGAUGCUGGCGUAAUGGUCAUCAGCGACCCGUCUUGAAACACGGACCAAGGAGUCAAGGUUUUGCGCGAGUGUUUGGGUGUCAAACCCGCACGCGUAAUGAAAGUGAACGUAGGUGAGAGCUUCGGCGCAUCAUCGACCGAUCCUGAUGUUUUCGGAUGGAUUUGAGUAGGAGCGUUAAGCCUUGGACCCGAAAGAUGGUGAACUAUGCUUGGAUAGGGUGAAGCCAGAGGAAACUCUGGUGGAGGCUCGCAGCGGUUCUGACGUGCAAAUCGAUCGUCAAAUCUGAGCAUGGGGGCGAAAGACUAAUCGAACCAUCUAGUAGCUGGUUACCGCCGAAGUU